AGGUCAGCUUGACGUGCCGUGUCCUCGUCGAGUAUCGACUGUUGGGGAUCAAUGGAUGGGGACGGUGGUCUGAAACAACCGCAAUGAUUUAUUGUUCAGUUGCAGAGGGGACAGUAUCUUCUGUUCACACUGCAGCAUAUUAAAUGCUGAAGAAAAGAAGAGGUGAGACACCAGGGACUAAAAGCAUUUGCUGGCAAUCUAAUCCUGAGCCGUCACAACCACCAACAAACCCAAGUGAUUCCACCACCUUGGUUUUGGGGAUAGAAUGGAACAGCUAAAAACAACAACGAAAAUAGAGUGUGAUUUGGAGGGGAGAUGCAGCAGGUUGGGAAGCUGGAGGUGUCGCCACAUCACUGUUGAUUACACACCGAACACCCAAACGUGCAACCAACGACACCAUGGCAACAACACUCUUCUCAGUCCAGGCCGGUGAUCAGCUUAGUAGAUAAGUGAUCUCUCUUUUUUCACGUUUCUCUCUCUCUCUUACACACACACAAUCCCAAAACUAUUUUCUCUUCCUUCUAGGAAACAUUGGGUCCUUGUUUCUCGUUCCGUUUGAAAUGAGUCUGUUCAGCUGAAUUGGCAGAAGACAGUCGUCUACACACACAUACACUAGGGGUCUAAAAGGGUAAACCAUCCAAACCGCACUGUUGGUUUUGUUCAACACAGAAAUCCGAAUGAGCGCCGCAGUCUUUCGCCCGUCUCUCCAAAACAGGUUCCAAAAUGGUUGCAUGUUUAUGCACCAAGACGGGUGCCAAGAUGGCUCUCCACCUCCAAUUACCUGAUGUCAUCGGCUCUUGAGGGAGCCCUCAGCCAAUCGGUGUAAAGUACUGAGGAGUUUUAUCCAAAACCUUUGUAUUUGAUUGCUUGUGUUUGGAUAUUCUAGUCUAAAUAGAGUGACCGGAGCCAGAAUGGCUCCAGGUGGAUUGGCAGUGACCUGAGCCAAAAUGGCAGCCGGUGCAGCAUGUCUGGCAUGUAGCGGAGGGCCUCUGGUUUCAAUGGGCGAGCGGCAAACAGUCAGGACAAGGCUUGUUUCUCCUGAAACUGGACCUGAAUGACUUCUACAGUCUCUGAGACAGAUGGCGGAGUUAUUAAGGAUACGCAUGGAGAAAGGGAAUUACAGAGAUGAGAGGAAAGAAAGAGGGAAGAGGCCACAGCACAUUUGGACCGUGUCCAAGGGAAAGAAACCUACAGCAGCCGGGACGAUCGCUCACGCGCCAUGAGCCGAACUCCGCAGGCUGAAGGAGAAACGGACACGAGAUAGCUCUGGGAUUUAACACACAUGGGAGGACAGACGUAUCAGCCAGCGUUCCUCUGCUCAGCAUGAUGACAUGAUGUUUCGUGCUAGGACACCGUGUCCACAACGUCACCACAGAGCCAUGACGGGCAUUCCUGAGAGCAAUCCUAUCACUGGAACCUUGAAGUGGGUGACAUGUGCCGCUUCAGUGAGAUGCAAGGCAAAACAAAUAUUUAUCUACCCUCAUGUCUUCAAAACUUGUAUAUGACUAUUUCUUUAGUAAGAGAGAAAAGUCUACUUUUGUGUCCAUAGAA